rnacentral:rRNA from 1 species
AACUGGAGAGUUUGAUCCUGGCUCAGAACGAACGCUGGCGGCAUGCCUAACACAUGCAAGUCGAACGUGAAAGUUUCCUUCGGGAAGCGAGUAAAGUGGCGCACGGGUGAGUAACACGUGGAUAAUCUGCCCAAUGAUCUGGGAUAACAUUUCGAAAGGGGUGCUAAUACCGGAUAAGCCCACGAUGUCUUAGGACAUUGAGGGAAAAGGUGGGGACCUUCGGGCCUACUGUCAUUGGAUGAGUCCGCGUCCCAUUAGCUAGUUGGUAGGGUAAUGGCCUACCAAGGCUUCGAUGGGUAGCUGGUCUGAGAGGAUGAUCAGCCACACUGGAACUGAGACACGGUCCAGACUCCUACGGGAGGCAGCAGUGGGGAAUUUU